rnacentral:rRNA from 1 species
CAGCCGCCGCGGUAAAACGUAGGUGGCAAGCGUUGUCCGGAAUUAUUGGGCGUAAAGGGCUCGCAGGCGGUUUCUUAAGUCUGAUGUGAAAGCCCCCGGCUCAACCGGGGAGGGUCAUUGGAAACUGGGAAACUUGAGUGCAGAAGAGGAGAGUGGAAUUCCACGUGUAGAGGUGAAAUGCGUAGAGAUGUGGAGGAACGCCAGUGGCGAAGGCGACUCUCUGGUCUGUAACUGACGCUGAGGAGCGAAAGCGUGGGGAGCGAACAGGAUUAGAUACCCCUGUAGUCCCUGUCUCUUAUAC